CAAGAGCCCCACGCGUCCUCCUAUGCAAAGGCUCCGCGAUUCGUGUUCUUCUCUCAAGUUCGCAACGCCGCCGCCGGUUUUCCCUUUCUCCUUCUCGCAUGACGCACACCGGCCCCAGCUUCUUCCUUCUCGACUCCAUGGCUAGCCGGCGGACGGCCGUUCCCAGAGCCGCUAGGGGAUCUCCUGCUCGGUCGUCCGUGCUGCCGCCGCCCGACAUGCCCUAGCGCCAGCUAGCCAUAUCCUGACGUCAAUGGCUGGGGCUCCUUGUGGUGAUCUUCCAUUGCAAGCCUUCCAUGUUCCCUCAAUCAAGGGACUAAUUACUGUUUGUGUGGAUGCACUGCUGAUGUGCUGCAGUAUCAUCAGAGGAGAGAAGCCUGCAAGUGUUUCAUCAGAAAAUUCUUUGACGAUAUAACUUUUUUUCUACGAUAAUACAAUUGUUAAUUCCUUGCAUUGUUUGAUCAAAAGCAUGGUAUAAUAAGUUCUCCUUAGCAAACAUGGGCGUUUCCUUCUAUUGAACAUUGGCACAAAGGACAAUCUUGCCAUGUAAAUUAACUAAAGCAGCAAACGUUCGUUGCGAAAAAUUCAGGUUCUGGGGCCAAAUGCAUUAUAAUUACAUUUUUACCAUAGCAGUAUAGCAUCAUGGGAUUGUAAAUGAUAUAUGUAUCACAUUCAUUUAGGUGCUCUCCAGAUAAGGCUCAACCACUGCUUGCUGUGUGGAUUAGAGUUAGCCUUUUCAUCAAUUCUCAUCCAAUGGAUAAAAUAUACAUAUCCAUAUAGGCAGAAUUGGGUCAGAUGGCAUGAAACCAUUGACUAGAGCGAGAAUAAACUGCAGCAUCGAUCCGAUGGACUGAAUCACACUUGCAGUGGUGAUGUGUGUAGAUUAAUUACAUGAGAAGUAAAACAAAACAGGUCCUAAGAACUGAAGUGCUGUUGGCUACUAUACCAUGACUUGAAUAUAUAUUUUUCCUCUAUUAUUGCAGCACAUUGGCUUUCACACACACCAUUAUGAAUAUAAAUCACUUUGGACAUGUCUAUUUCCGAAAGGAUAUGCCAUAUAUACAAAUGUGGUGCUGGACAUUUUGUUCUAUCCCUUAUGUCAACCGGCCUUUAAUUAAGUAUCUUAACCCACAUGUUUCAGUCCAUUAUGCUGAUAGACUUUAUUUCUCUCUUCUGAGCGUUGCUAAAACAGGUGGUGCUUGGAUUUGUACUUUAAUUAUGCUUACCGAAAUGAUAUCAUACACAAUCAACACAUAAAAUUAUAAAUUUGUAUAUGUCUUAAUGUCAAACAUUACAAUCAUUAGUGCAUAAAUGAUAAGAUGUUAUUCAAUUUCCAUCCUUAAACAAGACAUUUCCUGUGCUUGUGAUAUUUUAUAUGAUAAUAUUUGCAACUUAUUUCUGAUUAUAAUAUGUAAAUAUCUAUGAAAUCAUAAAUUAAUAUGGUAACAUUUGCAACUUAUUUCUGAUUACACUAUAAAUAUUUUUGAAACCAUAAAUUUAUUUCCAAACACUUUCAACACAUUAAAAAUGACGCCCUCGCAUUUGUGAGGCCAUUAUGCUAGUUGUAUUAAUUUGAGCCAAUACAAGAUAUAAAAUUUAUUAUUUAUACAUCUCUUUCUUAUUACUGCUCCUCUCUAUUCUUCCCUUGUCACAUAAGCAUGCGUGCAAGAGUUGUGUGUUAAGCAAUUAAUUAUCUCUCUUAUAUUUCCAUCUCUUCUCCUCCACAUCGCAUUAGAUUUUGCUCGGCUGCCAUGAGCUAUACAUAACGAUGACAUGGUCUUAUUGGUUUAUUUAUCCACUCUUGUGUCCUAAUAAACUAAAAACACAGACAAAUCCACCCACCCACCCAGCCGUCCUGAUUUUUGAUGCACAUUCCUCGCAAAAAUCCAGCCUACCUGCUACUUGUAUUUUACUUCAAGUGGGUGAUUUUUUAAUUGCAAAGGCAUUCUAAUCAGUUGAGAUUUCUCCGGACACUUUUAUAAUUUUUUUAUUACAGUAUAUGGUACUACUAAUAUAAUUUUGCAAGGUUUUGGAUACCGGACUGAACAUUUUUACCGUGGAGGGCGGUAAACGCGGUUACCACGGUAAUCAAAAGUUUACAGAUGAGUUGAUUUGCAGGGUCUUAGAUGAGUUUUCUCAUUUUUGUACCGUGCUACGCCUCCAUCUACGCCUGAUGCUGCUUGUGCAUCGCUCGUCAGCCUCCUGCACUUGUUCACCACCAGUCCACCACCCUGCGCUUUCCUCUGCCUCGCUGCAGGCCUUGCACAACCUGGCCAUACGGUUUGUGGUUCGUGAACCAUCUUUGCACGGCUACCGCGAGGGCAUCCGCAACCUUAUUACAGGGAUGAUUACAAAGACUAAAGGAACAUUAAGUAAAUUUAAGGCUUCGAUCUCUCAGAACAGGACACCACACAGUGCAAGAUCAUGAGAAUCUUCAUCGACAGCUUUAACGAGCAGCAGGGCAUCAGACUCCACCUGAAUUGUUGAGCUGCCGUCAGAGCAUGCAAACCUGCCUCAGCUUCGUCCUGAAUACCCCCGAUCUCGAAGGUCCGUCGAAACAACCAUCAGUAUUGAUUCUGAGCACUUGAGGGUGAAGCCUUAUCGUCUCUUUUUUUUUUCUUGCGGGGAAACUGAUCGUUUUUUUACUUCCUAAAAAAUCCUGAAACUCCCCCACAUGACGCAUUAUGCAAUAGAUAAUCUCAUUGGUGUCAGGCCCUUUUGCCCUCAGCGUUACAUUUGUUC